rnacentral:rRNA from 1 species
AACGAACGCUGGCGGCGCGCCUAACACAUGCAAGUCGAACGAGAAUCCGGGGCAACCCGGUAGUAAAGUGGCAAACGGGUGAGGAAUACAUGGGUAACCUACCCUUGAGAAGGGAAUAACCCGCCGAAAGGUGAGCUAAUACCCUAUACGCUAUCUUUUUUCGAAAGGAAUAGGAAAGCCGGGUCGGAGGACCUGGUACUCAAGGAGGGGCGUCAUGUCCUAUCAGCUUGUUGGUGGGGUAACGGGCCUACCAAGGCUACGACGGGUAGCUGGUCUGAGAGGAUGAUCAGCCACACUGGCACUGAGAUACGGGCCAGACUCCUACGGGAGGCAGCAGUGAGGAAUAUUGGGCAAUGGGCGAAAGCCUGACCCAGCCACGCCGCGUGAGUGAUGAAGG